GACGAACCGUGCGAACGUUGUUCGGAAUCACUGGGCUUAAAGGGCGCGUAGGCGGACAAUCAAGUCAGGGGUGAAAUCCCACGGCUCAACCGUGGAAGUGCCUUUGAUACUGACUGUCUCGAGGGAGGUAGGGGCGUGCGGAACUUCCGGUGGAGCGGUGAAAUGCGCAGAUAUCAGGAGGAACACCGGUGGCGAAGGCGGAUCUCUGGGCCGAUACUGACGCUGAGGAGCGAAAGCGUGGGGAGCGAACAGG
rnacentral:rRNA from 1 species